rnacentral:rRNA from 1 species
CAUGAACGCUAGCUACAGGCUUAACACAUGCCAGUCGAGGGGCAGCAUGAUUGAAGCUUGCUUCAAUCGAUGGCGACCGGCGCACGGGUGAGUAACACGUAUCCAACCUGCCGAUAACUCGGGGAUAGCCUUUCGAAAGAAAGAUUAAUACCCGAUAGUAUAGUAUUUCCGCAUGGUUUCACUAUUAAAGAACUUCGGUUAUCGAUGGGGAUGCGUUCCAUUAGAUAGUUGGCGGGGUAACGGCCCACCAAGUCAACGAUGGAUAGGGGUUCUGAGAGGAAGGUCCCCCACAUUGGAACUGAGACACGGUCCAAACUCCUACGGGAGGCAGCAGUGAGGAAUAUUGGUCAAUGGACGAGAGUCUGAACCAGCCAAGUAGCGUGAAGGAGGACUGCCCUAUGGGUUGUAAACUUCUUUUAUACGGGAAUAAAGUGGAGUAUGCAUACUCCUUUGUAUGUACCGUAUGAAUAAGGAUCGGCUAACUCCGUG